rnacentral:rRNA from 1 species
GACGAACGCUGGCGGCGUGCUUAACACAUGCAAGUCGAACGAAGAGCGAUGGAAGCUUGCUUCUAUCAAUCUUAGUGGCGAACGGGUGAGUAACGCGUAAUCAACCUGCCCUUCAGAGGGGGACAACAGUUGGAAACGACUGCUAAUACCGCAUACGAUCUAAUCUCGGCAUCGAGGAUAGAUGAAAGGUGGCCUCUACAUGUAAGCUAUCACUGAAGGCGGGGAUUGCGUCUGAUUAGCUAGUUGGAGGGGUAACGGCCCACCAAGGCGAUGAUCAGUAGCCGGUCGGAGAGGAUGAGCGGCCACAUUGGGACUGAGACACGGCCCAGACUCCUACGGGAGGCAGCAGUGGGGAAUCUUCCGCAAUGGACGAGAGUCUGACGGAGCAACGCCGCGUGAGUGAUGACGGCCUUCGGGUUGUAAAGCUCUGUUAAUCGGGACGAAAGGCCUUCUUGCGAAUAGUGAGAAGGAUUGACGGUACCGGAAUAGAAAGCCACGGCUAACUACGUG